GAUGAACGCUGGCGGCGUGCCUAAUACAUGCAAGUCGAGCGCAGCGGGGACGGGUGAGUAACACGUGGAUAACCUCCUAUAAGUCUGGGUUAACUUCGGGAAACCGUAUCUAAACCUGAUACUUAUAUAUGGAUCCGCGGUGCAUUCGCUAGUGGGUAAGGUAACGGCUUACCAAGGCAUCGAUGCAUAGCCGACCUGAGAGGGUGAUCGGACACACUGGGACUGAGACACGGUCCAGACUCCUACGGGAGGCAGCAGUAGGGAAUCUUCCGCAAUGGGCGAAAGCCUGACGGAGCAUCGCCGCGUGAGUGAAGAAGGUCUUCGGAUCGUAAAACUCUGUUAUUAGGGAAGCGGUACCUAAUCAGAAAGCAACGGAUAACUACGUGCCAGCAGCCGCGGUAAUUC
rnacentral:rRNA from 1 species